GUUUAAAAUUAAGCAAUUUAUGGUUAUUUAAAUGCUACAUGCACCGUAGACUGUAAUGUUAUAAAUGGGCGAGCUACCUGAAGCAAGAUGGCCGCCAUGCGCCGACGUCCGAUCGGUAGGUUUCGACUGCGCACGUGCGACACGUAGUAUACGCCCCCACCACUGAGCCACUUCCGGUUGUAGCUCGCCACAGCUGUGUUUCGCCAAACUUUGCAUGAGAGGAGGGCGCCGACAGCGAGUUUGUUUUUCGAGUCGCGCGGGGGUAAACAAAAAAACUCUGAGAAGAGGUCGACGAGUGACGAGCUAGUGUUCAGAAUAUCAAAGUGUACAGUCAACGCGCUCCGCUCCAGGUAUGUUGUGGACCUUUGUGUUGUUUGUCAGUGUUUAUAUUUUGGCGCCGGCAUGAAGUAGGUGGUUUAUGCAGAGCAGUGGAUUAAAACAGUGGCUUUAACCCACUGCUGUGGGUUUAUGGGUCAUGUAGGCAGUAACGCGUCACGAGUGGGUCUGUUUUGUUGGUGUGCAUCGCAGCAGUUGUGUGUGCACUGUGCAGUAGUUUUGAAUAAAGUAUAUAUACAAGUCACAAUUACAUACUUUGGGAUAUUUAAUUGUAAAUUUGAGUCAGGUUUUUGUCUGUGAUUGUAUCUGACUCUUUGUUGAACUAAUUAAUGUGUUUUUGCUACAUAAACAUGAGGUUUUCUACCUUUUUUUUUAAAUAAGAACUAACAUUUCCUUUGCUGAAUGUUCCAAAUAUAGACUGUAUAUGGUUCUAACCUGUGCAAAAAUUGUUAUGCUGGCCAUUAAAUUGAUCAAAUAAAUGGUGAUUUAAGCUGAUAAUAGUUUAUAAAAACAAUAAUGAUAUUAAGUCCUAAAUCUGUUUUACUCAUUCAACUGUUUGAUUCUUAGGUUAGUUUGGUCAAAAUAGAUAUUUGACUUAAAAUAGAGAAUAUUUAAAGUUUUUUAAGUAUACUAGAGAAAGAUCAAAGGAGGGUGAUCCAGAUGGUAAAAGUGUGUAACUGUAAAAAUCCUUAAAAGCACCCGUUCAUAUAUGAACACAAGUAGACAAACAAUCCUUGUCUCUCAUUUUGUAUUAAUCUUUUUUAAUAUCUUGGAGCUGUAAUCCAGCUACAGGGAAUUUUCUGUGGCUGAAGUUGUCUUUUUAAACUUUAUGUUAACUCAAUUAGUCUGUGGAAAUAUAGAUAUACACAGCUUGUUCCACCCACAAUUUUUCAUAGAUAUUCAUCAUUACUGAACUGAAAAACAGCUGACCUGAGAGUGUGCCUAAAUAAAAAGUUUUAAUACAAUUAAAAAACCAGAGAGCUGUCUCUCUGUCAAAGUUGUUUAAAGUUGUAUUUUCACUCUUGCAGAUCUGUGGGCAUGAUGGACGUCACGCUGGGAGAAGAAGGACGGAGUGGUCAUCUUUCCUGAGCUGUAGCUCUAAGGUAAGAGGUUUUUCUUUGUACCACAGCUGCAGUUUCAUGUUUCAGCGCUGAGUUUCAACAGCUUAGAGUUGAGCUGAUUUUUAGGCUCCUUUGGUUCAAGUUUAACUAUAGAGAAAAUUAUCUGACUCUGUUACUCACAGAAACCUCUCUGCAGCCUCAAUAGUAGCACAAUGAAGGUUUCAACAUGAGCUAAAGGAGCCAAAGCUCUGUGCUUAUGUUUAUGAAUAUUAGAUAGAUUCUCUUUAGCUUGGAUUAAAGAUGUACUUAGCACAGAUUAAUAGACAUUAAAGUGACAUUAUUCUGUAUUUCAACACAACAGAGUUAAAAAGUGGAGAGAAGCUGAAAACUAGAAAUCAGGUCUCAAAUGACAGAUUUAUCAUUUUUAAUGUUAUUGUUUUGCAUUUAAUGAAGUAAUAGAAACAAAAAUACCCGAAACAAAAUUGCUAGACUUGAGUGAACUUUGGUACAUUAAAAUAUUAUGACAACUCAACUCAACUCAACUUUAUUUGUAAAGCACUUUAAAACAACCACAGCUGAACAAAGUGCUGUACAUAAAUAUUUAACAGAACUGAACUAGACUGCACAUGAUAGGAGAUUAAAAACUGUCUGUAGUGAUGAGUAUAAAUAGAUGUCAGGUAUGCUUCACCUUAAAAACUACAUUUUUCUCUUGUUUGCUCAACCCACAAUUUUUCAUAGAUAUUCACACCGGACCGUCCCUGGAGUCGGGUGGACCACCAUCUUCAUGUGGCGGCCUUCCUCCCACGGCGUCCCGCUCAGGUCGAGGCGCUCAGCUGCUACUGUGACGCUGUUCAGAGUCUGAUUAUCAGUCCAUCUUUUUACUGACUGAUCAGAGACUGAGAGUGAAGCUGUGGACAUAAAUGGAGACUCCUCUUUAGGUGGAACUACCUCUUUAAGAUAAACUCAAAUUCUGAUGAACUAUCUAUUGUAUUUUAUGGUACAAGUGCUCGCAGUUGGACUCAACAUAUUAGAAGAAGAGGAAGAUCAUCAAACAGAGCAGUGGUAAUGUUAUUUAUCAUCUGUGUUUUUAAGAUUCAUCAGUGUUUUCUUUUCUGGAAAACAAUUACUGCGUUGUAGAUGAGACACGACUGAAAGAAAACGUAGAGCUCGAAACAUCAGGGGUACGAUUGAAUGAAUUUCUUGACCAAAAAUCACAAAUCAGCUGAUAUUAAAGUAUUUUUAAUUAAGUUUGCGGCCUGAAAAAAAAAAACAAGCAGAAGUAUGAUUGAAUUUCCUGUAAAUGUUUCUGUAAAUUAAAUCAGUCUAAGGUUAUUUGGUCAUGACUUUAAAGUUAUGGUCUGAUUAAAGCAGCUGCAUUUUUAUAUAAUGUUGUUUUGAAACCAGAUAAAUAUGGACAAAGUUAAACAAGUAGUCUUAAGGUAAAAAGUCUGUAAUGUUAUGCUAACAAUAAUAACUCGCUAUAAUAAGAUAUAUAUAAUGGAUAUAAUAAUAAAUUUUCAUCUUUAAAUCUUGAAUUCUAGCUGUAAACUCUGGUGGUUUCUAAAAAAG
rnacentral:lncRNA from 1 species